CAGUAGCCGCGGUAAUACGAAGGGGGCUAGCGUUGCUCGGAAUGACUGGGCGUAAAGGGCGCGUAGGCGGCACAGACAGUCAGAAGUGAAAUUCCUGGGCUCAACCUGGGGACUGCUUUUGAUACGUCUGAGCUAGAGUGGAGAAGAGGGUUGUGGAAUUUCCAGUGUAGAGGUGAAAUUCGUAGAUAUUGGAAAGAACACCGGUGGCGAAGGCGGCAACCUGGUCUUUUACUGACGCUGAGGCGCGAAAGCGUGGGGAGCAAACAGGAUUAGAGACCCCUGUAGUCCCUGUCUCUUAACA
rnacentral:rRNA from 1 species